rnacentral:tRNA from 1 species
GGGGUGGUAGCUCAGUUGGACAGAGCGGGAAUGUUCCAUCUCUCUUGUCGUGGUCGUCGUCGGUCCUGUUGUGGGCGUUGCCUGGCGGAUGCAGGCGGAUCUCCAUCGGUCGCGGGUUCGAAUCCCGCCCGCCCUA